CGACGGGAAAAGGGCGCCUGCGCUGCGUUUAUGACGUACUCGGCAGCGGCUUUAAGGCAAUUGCUCACUCUAGGGAAAGCCAGUUACCAUGCAAUGAAGAGGAUUAAGCAGCUCUGUGAAGAUACUAAGAGGGCCAAAUGGGAAGGAAGUAAGCUUCCUGCCAACAGUCUGCACCAGACAUAACACUUUGAAUCUGAACUCCAUGAUCCAGCAUAACAGAAGAGGAAGGAGGUCUUGCCAACACUGCUUCUGCCAAUGAUGAGCAGCUUGAACAUAUAGUCAAAAUUCUGGUCAGAGGCAUCUUUGACUCCAGUUUUAUCACUGCUCACUGAAGCCAUCUGCAAGAGAGACCUAUGGUCAGUUGGCUACUUUGAGUCACCAACCUUCCAAUGGUCCUAUUACCUGAUGUUGGAAAAAGAUAAUAUUACUCAGCAAUAAAAGAGAAU